CUGGUUGAGGUAUUGUUAGGGUAUUUUACUGUCUCUAUUGUGUAUGAUGCCCUGGUUGAGGUAUUGUUAGAGUAUUUUACUGUCUCUAUUGUGUAUGAUGCCCUGGUUGAGGUAUUGUUAGGGUAUUUGUACUGCGCUCUUGUGUAUAGAUCCCUGGUUGAGGUAUGUUAGAGUAUUUACUGUCUCUAGUGUGUAUGAUGCCCUGGUUGAGGUAUUGUUAGAGUAUUCACUGUCUCUCUAUUGUGUAUGAUGCCCUGGUUGAGGUAUGGUUAGGAUUUUACUGUCUCUAUUGUGUAUAUGCCCUGGUUGAGGUAUUUUUAGCGUAGUUUACUGUCUCUCU
rnacentral:lncRNA from 1 species